rnacentral:lncRNA from 1 species
CCCAUGAGCACUCCAGUAUUUGAAAUCCAAGCCUGGAAGCUUGAUCCAGUUUGGAACUAUGAGAAAUUCCUUUUCCAAAAACUCCAUAUCAGGCAUCCAUUCUUUGAUAAAAAGCGGCUUAUUAUCAAAGUGAUAAAUGACUCCUUGCAAUACAUCAAUUUUCCAUCUUUAUUAUCAAAUUGAACCAGUGCGAUACCAUUUUUCACCAUCGCAAUUUUGUUAAUACCCUAUUAUCCCCAGAUACGCUGGAUAAACCCAUUCAACACUACAAAUGAUGGGUGAGUACUGAGAACAUAGCACA